AUCACUGGGAUUUGUUUCCUCCUACUCAUUCACCUUUGCUUUCUCCCCCUCACAAUACUCCUGCACAUGCGUGUGUUGCCAGGUAUAGUGGUCUCUGCACUCUGGGUUCUGUGAUGUCACCCAGGUGAGCAUGGUCAAGAUGCCUGCCAUGCGAUGCGAGAUGUAGGACUCCACCUGGGAUCCAUUUGAAAGGAUCCAGUGGAUCGGGUGGGGAGGGAAGGACUGAACCCAGCCGUCUCCAUGAAUUACUUGGCAGGAAAAGGAAGCAUCUCCUCCUGGGGGAGUCUACUAGCAAAGGAGUUGGAAGACCACAGCGUAUACUCCAGCAUGGGUUGUUUCUCCAGGAAGCUGGCAGUCUUGGCUUCCUCAAUUGCAAGAUGGAGAUAGGGCUUUUGUUGGGAGGAUUAAAUAUGAUGAUCACCAAGGUAAAAGCUUAGCAUUUAGUAGAUUCUACUGCUGUGCUUCUUCUACAGGUGAGAAAACAAAGGCCAUAGAAGGUGAAGUAACAGGGUCACAAAAAGCUUAAGUAACUUGUUCAAGAUCACAGAGCUAAAAAGUGACAGAGGCAAGAUUUGAAACCAGGAAGGCUGACAGAGCUCCUGCUCUCAACACCUGCGAUGGGACCUUGGGCACAUUUCUUCACUUUGCCGCAAUCAGCUCCUUCUUGGCCCUGAGAAGGGACCUCCUUCCACCUGGUCUGGGCUGGAGAAGCAGUGUCAGGACUGUCUGCAAUAUCAAGAGUGGCACCAGGCAUGCAGAGUUGCCGAUCAGCACUUCAUGGACACUUCUGAACUUAGAUUGUCUACUGAGUGGCCUGUGGCAAAAAAAAGAGGUUCUGAAUUCCCUUUGUUCUCCCCUUUUAUGUUGCCCAAAGGAAAACCAAAGCAAAAAACACCCUUUGAAGCUGUCUUCUAUAUGAAAAAAUAAACAGACCCCUUUGCAAUGAGAGCCUCGGAGCAGGAUUUCAGUAAAGCUGCCCUGAUUGCCAGUGCCCUGAUGAUGACUGCCCCAUGAAAGGAGGAUGGCUACAGAGCCUGCAGCCAGAGCCAACUCUUUACAUUUUUUUAUCCCAUUCACCAAAUUCUGUUCCUGACAAUUUCCAUUCUUUUAAGCCACACCAAUGAGAUUCUUUGAGCAUCCUUUACAUAAUAAAAAGUCAAUUAGUAUGCUAUUUCUUUCUUUCUUUUUUCUUUCUUUCAUUCUUUUUUUUUUUGGUGAGGAAUAUUGGCCCUAAGCUAACAUCUGUGCCAAUCUUCCUCUAUUUUGUAUAUGGGAUGCCACCACAGCAUGGCUUGAUGAGUGGUGUGUAGGUCCACACCCAGAAUCUGAACCCACAAACCCCAGGCCACCAAAGUGAAGCAUGUGAACUUAACCACUAUGCUACCAGGCUGGCCCCAAUAUGCUAACUAUUAAUAAGCUUGAUUCUUGUAUUCAGAAUGGCAAUGGCUGUGCUUUGAAUUGAUGGAGAGGGAGGUGUGUGUAGGAAAGGAACUGAUCUGGGAUAGUGAUCUUUGCAGCAUCCUCUGGGGUCCUCGUAGAAUUUUUCUUGCCCAUCCAUCCCCCUCCCUGACCCCCAACUCCUUUGAUGACAAGAGUGGUUUUGGCUGUUGUGGUCACUGGUUGCUUUGAAAUAAU
ensembl:lncRNA